AUCGAUGAAGAACGCAGCGAAAUGCGAUAAGUAAUGUGAAUUGCAGAAUUCAGUGAAUCAUCGAAUCUUUGAACGCACCUUGCGCUCCUUGGUAUUCCGAGGAGCAUGCCUGUUUGAGUGUCAUUAAAUUCUCAACCCCUCCAGCUUUUGCGAGUUGUGAUGGGGCUUGGAUAUGGGGGCUUGCGGGUCUUUACUGAUGUAAAGGUCAGCUCUCCUGAAAUACAUUAGCGGAACCGUUUGCAGUCCCGUCACUAGUGUGAUAAUUAUCUACACUGUGAUGGAUUGCUCUCUGACUAGUUCAGCUGCUAAUCGUCCGUUAUGGACAAUGUUUAAUGAACUUCUUGACCUCAAAUCAGGUAGGACUACCCGCUGAACUUAAGCAUAUCAAUAAGCGGAGGAAAAGAAACUAACAAGGAUUCCCCUAGUAACUGCGAGUGAAGCGGGAAAAGCUCAAAUUUAAAAUCUGGCGGUCUAUGGCUGUCCGAGUUGUAAUCUAGAGAAGUGAUGCCCGCGCUGGACCGUGUACAAGUCUCCUGGAAUGGAGCGUCAUAGAGGGUGAGAAUCCCGUCUCUGACACGGACUACCAGGGCUUUGUGGUAUGCUCUCAAAGAGUCGAGUUGUUUGGGAAUGCAGCUCUAAAUGGGUGGUAAAUUCCAUCUAAAGCUAAAUAUUGGCGAGAGACCGAUAGCGAACAAGUACCGUGAGGGAAAGAUGAAAAGAACUUUGGAAAGAGAGUUAAACAGUACGUGAAAUUGCUGAAAGGGAAACGCUUGAAGUCAGUCGCGUUAGCUAGGACUCAGCCUCGCUCUUGCGUGGUGUACUUUCUGGUUGACGGGUCAGCAUCAAUUUUGACUGCUGGAAAAAGGUCUUGGGAAUGUGGCAGCUUCGGCUGUGUUAUAGCCCUUGGUCACAUACAGCGGUUGGGAUUGAGGAACUCAGCACGCCGCAAGGCCGGGUUUCGACCACGUUCGUGCUUAGGAUGCUGGCAUAAUGGCUUUAAGCGACCCGUCUUGAAACACGG
rnacentral:rRNA from 1 species